AGAGUUUGAUCAUGGCUCAGGAUGAACGUUGGCGGCGUGCCUAACACAUGCAAGUCGAACGUGAAGGUUUAGUCUGAAAACUUCGGUUAGAUGACUGGCCGGAAAGUGGCGAACGGGUGAGUAACACGUAGGUAACCUGCCCCGAAGCGGGGGACAACCAUUGGAAACGAUGGCUAAUACCGCAUGAUUCCGCGAAGACACGAGUCUUCGUGGGUAAAACUUCGGUGCUUUGGGAUGGGCCUGCGUCCGAUUAGCUAGUUGGUGGGGUAAUGGCCUACCAAGGCAGUGAUCGGUAGCUGGUCUGAGAGGACGACCAGCCACAUGGGAACUGAGACACGGUCCCAACUCCUACGGGGGGCAGCAGUGAGGAAUAUUGCACAAUAGGGGAAACCCUGAUGCAGCAACGCCGCGUGGAGGAUGAAGGCUCUUGGGUUGUAAACUCCUUUUCUGCGGGAAGAGCAAGGACGGUACCGCAGGAAUAAGUCACGGCUAACUACGUGCCAGCAGCCGCGGUAAUACGUAGGUGACAAACGUUAUCCGGAAUUACUGGGCGUAAAGCGCACGCAGGCGGUCAAUCAAGUUUGGCGUGAAAGCUCCCGGCUUAACUGGGAGAGGUCGUUGAAUACUGGUUGGCUUGAGGCAGUGAGAGGGGUGCGGAAUUCCAGGUGUAGUGGUGGAAUGCGUAGAUAUCUGGAGGAACACCAGUGGCGAAAGCGGCACCCUGGCAUUGACCUGACGCUCAUGAGCGAAAGCGUGGGGAGCGAACGGGAUUAGAUACCCCGGUAGUCCACGCUGUAAACGAUGAACACUAGGUGUAGGCCGAGUCAAAUCGGUUUGUGCCGAAGUCAACGCGAUAAGUGUUCCGCCUGGGGAGUACGGCCGCAAGGCUAAAACUCAAAGGAAUUGACGGGGACCCGCACAAGCAGCGGAGCGUGUGGUUUAAUUCGAUGCAACGCGAAGAACCUUACCUGGGUUUGACAUAUACGUAGUAGUGAACCGAAAGGGGAACGAGCCUUCGGGCAGCGUAUACAGGUGCUGCAUGGCUGUCGUCAGCUCGUGUCAUGAGAUGUUGGGUUAAGUCCCGCAACGAGCGCAACCCUCGUCGCUAGUUACAAGUGUCUAGCGAGACUGCCGGUAUCAAACUGGAGGAAGGUGGGGAUGAUGUCAAGUCAGCAUGGCCUUUAUAUCCAGGGCUACACACACGCUACAAUGGAUAGUACAAUGGGCAGCGAAAGGGCGACCUGGAGCUAAUCCUAUCAAAGCUAUUCGUAGUUCGGAUUGCAGGCUGCAAUUCGCCUGCAUGAAGCCGGAGUUGCUAGUAAACGUAGGUCAGCACACUACGUUGAAUACGUUCCCGGGUCUUGUACACACCGCCCGUCACGUCAUGGGAGUCGGUAACACCUGAAGUCGGUGACUUAACCGCAAGGAGAGCACUGCCUAGGGUGGGACCGAUAACUGGGACGAAGUCGUAACAAGGUAACCGUA
rnacentral:rRNA from 1 species